UUGAUGGAUUAUUUUUUGGUAAUCAAACGGUGAAAGUGUUGUAUUGUAUUGCAACGUAUAUACCGUUACAUCAUAUACUAAUUUAGCCCAUUUUACUUUCGAGUUAAGAUUGAGGCUGAAGUCUGGCAUUAUUCCGUAACGUGCAAGAGCCCAUCGGGCCAUGACUUGCUAGUAGACCAUGCCUGGCACAUUU